UCCCGUGUUGCUCAGUGGUUAGAGUGUUGGCCUGUGCAGCAAAGGAUCUCAGGUUCGAUUCCUGGUCAAGGGCA
rnacentral:tRNA from 1 species